rnacentral:antisense_RNA from 1 species
CUUCAUCGAGCCCAGCCACAGCGGCUGUUCACGGUCCUGGCCGUACGCGGCGAUCAGGGCGUUGGCCUC